rnacentral:rRNA from 1 species
UACGUAGGGAGCAAGCGUUGUCCGGAAUCAUUGGGCGUAAAGCGCGCGUAGGCGGCCCGAUAAGUCCGCUGUAAAAGUCAACGGCUCAACUGUUGAAAGCCGGUGGAUACUGUCGGGCUAGAGUACGGAAGAGGCAAGUGGAAUUCCUGGUGUAGCGGUGGAAUGCGCAGAUAUCAGGAGGAACACCGGUGGCGAAGGCGGGACUCUGGGCCGAUACUGACGCUGAGGAGCGAAAGCGUGGGGAGCGAACAGG